CAUCUGAGCUCAGAAGCUAAGCAGUGUCGGGUCUGGUUAGUACUUGGAUGGGAGACCACCCAGGAAGACCAGGUGCUGUAGGCG
rnacentral:rRNA from 1 species